UACGUAGGGGGCAAGCGUUGUCCGGAAUUAUUGGGCGUAAAGAGCGCGUAGGCGGUCCGGUAAGUCGGUUGUGAAAGUCGGGGGCUCAACCCUCGGAUGCCGAUCGAUACUGCCGGGCUAGAGUCCGGAAGAGGCGAGUGGAAUUCCUGGUGUAGCGGUGAAAUGCGUAGAUAUUGGGAGGAACACCAGUGGCGAAGGCGGCUCACUGGACCGGAACUGACGCUGAGGCGCGAAAGCGUGGGGGGCAAACAGG
rnacentral:rRNA from 1 species